AUCGUACCUACUUACGUGAUGAUAGAACCUAAAUGAAUAAACUACUAGAUCCACCAUGAUGACUCCGACACCAACAAAACAGGACCCGGUUAAUGCCCGCAAAACCAAACAAAAACAUGAAAAUCAAAACACCUUAUAUAAAAAUAUAAAGAAAAAUUAAAUUAUGACAUAAGGCAUUCGUAGUAUUUGUAGGUCUAAUAAAUCAUGCCUACUUGAGAUUUAUAUCUGAGAGUUUCCGAGGCAUCCUAUUAAGGGUCCAUCUAAUCAAGUAUGGUGGUCAAUCUUGUUGGUCCUCUCGCAAACCGAACAAUUGCAAGAAAAUCAAAAUACUUUUAUAAAAAUAUGAAUCAAAUCAAGUAUGAACAUAAGGUAAUUUUUCGUAGUAUUUGUAAUCUAGUGAUCAUACCUUCUUAUGUGAUGAUAAAGAACCUGAACGAUAAACUACUAGAUCCACCAUGAUAACUCCG
rnacentral:lncRNA from 1 species